UUAAUAUAAAAUAUAAUUAUAUUGCAGAAAAUACAACAAAGUUACAAGACACACCAUUCGCAAAAGAAGUCACAGAGGCAGGACAAUAUCCAAGAAAGUCAUCAUCAUCACCUCUUUACACACUCAUAUGGCACAGAUUCAACAAGAGAAUUACGUGCCAAUUUUAUUCUUCAACUCUCUUUUAUCACAUUACAGACAAACACUGUUCUCAUAGCAGAGAACAUAAUUGAUUCACUCUUCCAUGCAGAUGAGACACCUUAUACCCUCCCCUCUCAGCAUAAGGUCAAAUGCCUUGUUGAUCUCUGAGAAUGGCACAGUGUGAGUGAUAAAUUUGUCCAGUUCCAGCUCCUGCAUUAUUAUUAAAACCAUUUGUCAUUUCAUACAGAAAUUAUUAAACAAUCUUGAACUUACUAAUUCAUAUAACUAAAUGUGAUUAAUUUACUUAUGAAAUAAAAAACUUGAAGUGCCAGACAUUAAAGUAUGAUUACCUUGUUGAGGUACUUCUCCACAACAGAAGGAAUAUCAGUGCGGGGUUUGUAGUGGCCAUAGAAGGUACCCUUGAGAGUUCUUCCUUCCAUGAACUUCAUAGGAUGAGUUUUGAAUUCAGCAUCCUUCUUUGGAACACUAACAAGUACAGCAACACCCCAACCCUGAGAACAAGCAAUUGAAGUUCAUGUUUAAUACUUGAUACAGAUGUAGCUAGAAACAAGAAUAAUAUCUCUGGGGUUAGGAAAAAUACAUCAUGAGUGCAUUCAAGUGCUGAGAUCGAAGCUUGGAUGUUUCCAGUGCAUUCAAUAGCACGAUCUACUCCUCCAUCAGUCAUUUCAGCAAUUACCUUAGUGAUAUAGCAAGAAAGAGAAUUAGUUCCCUUGGAUUUAACUAAAUUACAGUGUACACAAUAUAGAAUAUUUAAAUGAAGUAAAAUGAAUGAAAGUGGAACUACUUAUGAACUAACCUCUUGAACUGGCUUGUUAUGCUCUUUGGGGUUCACAAAUUCAGUGACCCCAAAUUGUUUGGCUGACCAAGAAUAGCAAUGUAAUUAGACAUUAAAUGAACAAAAUUCUGGUGUGUGUGUUUUUUACUAUUCUCUAUCAAUAAUUCUUUAAUGCACUUGUCAAGGUAAAGCUCUGAUAUUGAUCAAAGAAUAAUAUCACAAACACUUAAAAGACAUGAAUCUACCUUGUUCAAAUCGACUAGGAAGUAAAUCAACCCCAAUGAUUCUCGAUGCACCAGAAACCCUUGCUCCUUCACAGGCCUAGAAUGCAAAGUACAAGGUUAGAAAACUGUAGUCAUUAUAGUAUCUUAAUUUAUUGCAGGAAAAAUCAGUGAAGGGUAUAUCACAUACAGCAAGACCAACAGCUCCUAAACCAAAGACAGCAACAGUAUCAUUAGGCUUUGGUUUUGCAACAUUUACAGUAGCACCAAAACCUGCAUGUACAAAAUUGAUGCAUACAUUAAAAAAAUCUAGAUUGUUCUGUUAGCAGCAUGAUGACUUGAAAGAGUAGAUUUAUGUGGCAAACCUGUGCAAAAUCCACAACUGACAACACAAACUUUGUCAAGUGGAGCAGCAGGGUUGAUCUUGGCAACACAGCCAGCAUGAAGAACAGUGUAUUCACUGAAUGUAGAGGUUCCCAGAAAGUGGUAAAUGGGUUGUCCAUUUUUGGAGAACCUUGUUUUGCCAUCACUCAGCAUAACUCCUCUGUCACUGUUGAUCCUUAGCACUUCACACAGGUUGCUCUCUUCUGACUUGCAGUAUUUGCAUUCCCCACACUCCCCAGUGAAUAUUGGGAGUGCAUGAUCUCCUGGUUUCAGAUGGGUCACUCCCUCGCCCACGCUCUCCACAAUCCUAGUUCAUUCAUUCACAUAACCACCAUUAAAAGUUUUUAAGGUUGAAAAAAUUGUCCAAACAUAAAUUUUAAGUGUUGAUUUUUGGUUCAUUGUUAAACAUUUUAGAUCAAUGAAAUUGGAGGAAUUAUGCAUAGUUUCCCGAGCCAAUUAAGCCAACAAGAUCUGAAUAGAAGUUUGUGAUCCAUGUGUAGUUAAUAAUAGGAAAAUGUUACUUUCACAAUUAAAAAUUAAAAAUUGAAAAAUAUUUUAUUUACAAAUUUACUCAAUAUAAUUUUAAAAUUGUUUUAUUUUGUAAAAAACUUAUUUCUCUUUCUCCUCUAAUGAUAAUAUGAUUUAUGGUUGUGAUGACUCUUAAUAAUAUUCAAACUCGAAAAAUAUCAGAAUCUGCAAAUGUCAGAAAAUUACAAAAUUAGGAUGACGUUUGCAAACAAAUACACCACAACAUAUAAUUUAUAUUUUUACUUACUGAAAUCAUGUUUACUAAUUAUGACUUCUACUUAUGUUUGAAAAGUAUGAAUUUGGUUUAUUUUUUUAUAAUGAAGUUAUAAUCAGAAAUUGAACUUGAUAAAUAGGACUUAAUAAAUAAUAAAAUUGUAUGAAAUAAAAUCGUAUUUACUAAAUAUGAUAUAUGUUGAAUGAAAAAUAAAAAAUUAAAAUAAUGUUAUAGAACAUGAGUUUUCAAGAAAUAGUACUUUUAAAAAAUACGGUUUACUUUUUUUUAUAAUUUUAUCAUUUAAAUAAUUCUUUUGAUAAACUACACCAUAUUGCUAAAUUGUCGUGAUAAAUCUUAACUCCUAUUCUUGUCGAAUAAUCAAAAUUAGCAAAUUUUUAUUAAUGGGAAAACUUUUAUGCAUGUUAAUGUCAUGUGUGAUUUUUAUGUCUCUACAAGAUUAUUUUGGAAUAUUUAAUGGUAUUACUCAGUCAAAUAAUAAGUUUUAAAGUGGAAUUAUUUCCGUAUUUAAUAAAUUAUCACUUGAAAAAUUGUGUUCACCGAAUGGAACAUACCCUGAAGCUUCAUGACCUAAUAUUCGAGGAAACAGCGGAUUCUGACCCUGAAAACCAAAAACGACAAAACAUAAAUACCAGCACACAGAAACAUCCACACUCAAUUCAUAACUUGUAAAGUAUUUAUGAAUAAAAUAUUUUUAAUAAAAUCAAUAAAAAUAUACACAAUUUUUUUUAAAAUUAAAUUCAUCUUAAUAUUUAAAAUUAUAUAUCAAGAUAAUGAAUAGGUUCAUAAAAUUAUUACACUAUCUUAACAUAAAAUUUUAGAUGCGGAAACCAAAUCCUAGAUAAUAAAAAAUAUUUUUGUUUUGUUUUAAAAUUGAAAUGUAAGUUUUAUGAAAUCUUUGUACUAAAGUAAAAAUGAUAAGAAUAUACUAAAAGUAAAAACUCAUAUUAUAUAAACAAGUUUUGAGUGAAGGAAUAUCCUAAUCAUUGAAGCCUAUAAAGUAGCUUUUGAGAGGGUGUGUCCAACAUAACACUCCUAAUAAUGAUGCUUUGCAUGUGUCGAUUUUCCCCGUUUCUAAACCAACCCCACCAUCAAAGAUUGCCUCUCAAAACCAAACCAAUAUCUUACAAAAAUAUAUUAAAAAAACUCUUUUUUAUUAUAGAAGCCAAAUAACCAUUCAAGUCACAGUGAAAAUUAUUUUAAAAAAUUAAAUCGCAUUAAAAAAAUUAUAUUGAGUUAUAUAGUAGUAUUUUGAAAAGAGAAAUCAUACUUGACAACAAGCUCGAAUAUAUAACCUCUAAUUGAUGAUCAUAUCAUACAAAAUUAAAAUUUAAGAAAAAAAAAUUAUUAUAUACUGAAAUAAGAUUUUCAAUGUAUCAUUAAAACAUUUUUCAUUUUAAUGGAAAAGAGAAAUGAUGUUAAGAAAGAGAUACCUUAACAUCCCACCAGUAAACAUCAGUACGGCAAAGGGAGUUGAAGAGGAUUUUCAAACGCACUUCUCCUUUCCCUGGUGGUGCCACUUCUAUGUUCUCUAUCGACAGUGGCUUCUCUGGUUCCCAUGCCACUGCAGCUGCAUUUCACACCAAACACAACAUUUUUUACUAAUUUCUCAUUGUUUUUCCCUUCUUUAUCAAUGUCUGAAACAACCUUUUGAGUCAUGUUUCAACUGAAACUUUGAUCAACUGUAAUAUGUGAGGAGUAAUGUCUGGUGUAUAAUUAUAAGUAAAAUUGGUAUUUCAGGCUUUAAUCUUUUGGUAUGGUUUCUUCAGUUUCAUUAUAUAAUAAAUAUUACUCUAUCUUUUUAUGGUAUCAGUAUUAGGAUUAGGAUGACAGAUAAUCCUUGAUUAACAGAAUAUAAUGCACUUUUUACAAUAUUCUUUAGAAAAAUCACACACACAUAUAUAUAUAUAAUGAUUUUUAAUUAGUUGACAGUAUAUAAACAUUCUAAAAUCAAUAAUAAAUCAAAAGUAAUAUGAAACCGUUAAUUCAAUUAAAAGGGCAAGAUUAAAAAAAAUAAACAAAAGUAAUGAUUAUUUUCCCAUAUUAUUUUGGUUACAAGAAAAAUGAGAAGCCUAACUUUACUCACAGAAGCACAUUUAGGAAAGAGAGAUGGAAAUGGCUCACCUCU
rnacentral:lncRNA from 1 species